CCUACGGGAGGCAGCAGUGGGGAAUAUUGGGCAAUGGGCGCAAGCCUGACCCAGCAACGCCGCGUGAAGGAAGAAUGCCUUCGGGUUGUAAACCUCUUUUCUUAGGGACGAAGAAAGUGACGGUACCUCAGGAAUAAGCCACGGCUAACUACGUGCCAGCAGCCGCUGUAAUACGUAGGUGGCAAGCGUUAUCCGGAUUUAUUGGGUGUAAAGGGCGUGUAGGCGGGAAAGCAAGUGAGAUGUGAAAACUCAGGGCUCAACCCUGAGCCUGCGUUUGAAACUGGUUUUCUUGAGUGCUGGAGAGGCAGGCGGAAUUCCGGGUGUAGCGGUGAAAUGCGUAGAUAUACGGAGGAACACCAGUGGCGAAGGCGGAUUGCUGGACAGUAACUGACGCUGAGGCGCGAAAGCGUGGGGAGCAAACAGGAUUAGAUACCCGAGUAGUC
rnacentral:rRNA from 1 species